rnacentral:snoRNA from 1 species
CCCCUCUCAGGAUCGCACCUGGAGAGUUUCCAGUACUCUAUCAGUCUCGGCUACUGGAGGGAGAGUCAAGCAGAGGCCUACCCAUUCCAUUCCCAGCUUGGGCAGUGGCUAGCGAGUGGAAGGCAAUCUGCUGCAAGU